AGCGAACGCUGGCGGCAGGCCUAACACAUGCAAGUCGAACGGACCCUUCGGGGUUAGUGGCGGACGGGUGAGUAACACGUGGGAACGUGCCUUUAGGUUCGGAAUAGCUCCUGGAAACGGGUGGUAAUGCCGAAUGUGCCCUUCGGGGAAAGAUUUAUCGCCUUUAGAGCGGCCCGCGUCUGAUUAGCUAGUUGGUGGGGUAAUGGCCCACCAAGGCUACGAUCAGUAGCUGGUCUGAGAGGAUGAUCAGCCACACUGGGACUGAGACACGGCCCAGACUCCUACGGGAGGCAGCAGUGGGGAAUCUUAGACAAUGGGCGCAAGCCUGAUCUAGCCAUGCCGCGUGAGCGAUGAAGGCCUUAGGGUUGUAAAGCUCUUUCAGUGGGGAAGAUAAUGACUGUACCCACAGAAGAAGCCCCGGCUAACUCCGUG
rnacentral:rRNA from 1 species